rnacentral:rRNA from 1 species
UACGGAGGGUGCAAGCGUUAUCCGGAUUCACUGGGUUUAAAGGGUGCGUAGGUGGAUUAGUAGGUCAGUGGUGAAAUCUCCGAGCUUAACUCGGAAACUGCCAUUGAUACUAUUAGUCUUGAAUUAUCUGGAGGUGAGCGGAAUAUGUCAUGUAGCGGUGAAAUGCUUAGAUAUGACAUAGAACACCAAUUGCGAAGGCAGCUCACUACGGAUAUAUUGACACUGAGGCACGAAAGCGUGGGGAUCAAACAGG